GAUGAACGCUGGCGGCGUGCCUAAUACAUGCAAGUCGAGCGAACAGACGAGGAGCUUGCUCCUCUGACGUUAGCGGCGGACGGGUGAGUAACACGUGGAUAACCUACCUAUAAGACUGGGAUAACUUCGGGAAACCGGAGCUAAUACCGGAUAAUAUAUUGAACCUCAUGGUUCAAUAGUGAAAGACGGUUUUGCUGUCACUUAUAGAUGGAUCCGCGCCGCAUUAGCUAGUUGGUAAGGUAACGGCUUACCAAGGCAACGAUGCGUAGCCGACCUGAGAGGGUGAUCGGCCACACUGGAACUGAGACACGGUCCAGACUCCUACGGGAGGCAGCAGUAGGGAAUCUUCCGCAAUGGGCGAAAGCUUGACGGAGCAACGCCGCGUGAGUGAUGAAGGUCUUCGGAUCGUAAAACUCUGUUAUUAGGGAAAAACAAAUGUGUAAGUAACUAUGCACGUCUUGACGGUACCUAAUCAGAAAGCCACGGCUAACUACGUG
rnacentral:rRNA from 1 species